rnacentral:lncRNA from 1 species
ACAUUCCAUUAGCUCAUAAAUCAUGACAAAGAUUAAAUCUCUCUAUAUCUAUGAAAGAAAGAAUAAUAAAAAAAGAUUUCUUUUUUAUUCUUUAUUGUUUCUUUUUCGUUCCUAUUAUGCUUUCGGAUCUGAUAAAACCACGAAUGGGGCUUAAACUAAAAAAUAGUAAAGGAUUAUUUCGUUCCUGAUAGUCAUUACUUUAACCGGCAGAUAGGAGGAUACUAUUGACCGGAAUCAUGGGGAGUACUGCCUAGUCAUUUCUACGAAUUUAAAGCCCUAAUUAGUAUUCUUUUUAUGUUAUCCAGAAGUCUCUUUUUAUAUAAUUUACAUAAUCUCCAUUACCAAUCUUUUAUGUAUUUUGGUGUUCCUAACCAUCCAC